UACGUAGGGCGCAAGCGUUGUCCGGAAUUAUUGGGCGUAAAGAGUUCGUAGGCGGUUCGGUAAGUGAGGUGUGAAAGCCCUCGGCUCAACCGAGGAAUUGCGCUUCAAACUGCCGGGCUCGAGGGAGAUAGAGGUGAGCGGAACUGAUGGUGGAGCGGUGAAAUGCGUUGAUAUCAUCAGGAACACCAGAGGCGAAGGCGGCUCACUGGGUCUCUUCUGACGCUGAGGAACGAAAGCUAGGGGAGCAAACGGG
rnacentral:rRNA from 1 species